UAGGGAAUCUUCGGCAAUGGACGGAAGUCUGACCGAGCAACGCCGCGUGAGUGAAGAAGGUUUUCGGAUCGUAAAGCUCUGUUGUUAGAGAAGAACGUUGGUAGGAGUGGAAAAUCUACCAAGUGACGGUAACUAACCAGAAAGGGACGGCUAACUACGUGCCAGCAGCCGCGGUAAUACGUAGGUCCCGAGCGUUGUCCGGAUUUAUUGGGCGUAAAGCGAGCGCAGGCGGUUCUUUAAGUCUGAAGUUAAAGGCAGUGGCUUAACCAUUGUACGCUUUUGCAACUGGAGGACUUGAGUGCAGAAGGGGAGAGUGGAAUUCCAUGUGUAGCGGUGAAAUGCGUAGAUAUAUGGAGGAACACCGGUGGCGAAAGCGGCUCUCUGGUCUGUAACUGACGCUGAGGCUCGAAAGCGUGGGGAGCAAACAGG
rnacentral:rRNA from 1 species